rnacentral:rRNA from 1 species
AUUGAACGCUGGCGGCAUGCUUUACACAUGCAAGUCGAACGGCAGCACAGAGAAGCUUGCUUCUUGGGUGGCGAGUGGCGAACGGGUGAGUAAUAUAUCGGAACGUACCGAGUAAUGGGGGAUAACUAAUCGAAAGAUUAGCUAAUACCGCAUAUUCUCUGAGGAGGAAAGCAGGGGACCUUCGGGCCUUGCGUUAUUCGAGCGGCCGAUAUCUGAUUAGCUAGUUGGUGGGGUAAAGGCCUACCAAGGCGACGAUCAGUAGCGGGUCUGAGAGGAUGAUCCGCCACACUGGGACUGAGACACGGCCCAGACUCCUACGGGAGGCAGCAGUGGGGAAUUUUGGACAAUGGGCGCAAGCCUGAUCCAGCCAUGCCGCGUGUCUGAAGAAGGCCUUCGGGUUGUAAAGGACUUUUGUCAGGGAAGAAAAGGCUGUUGCUA